rnacentral:rRNA from 1 species
AUAUGAACCGUUAUAACCGGCGAUUUCCGGAUGGUGAAAACCAGUGUGAGUCGUCACACGAACAUUAACUGCAUACAUAGGUUAAUGAGGCGAACCGGGGGAACUGAAACAUCUAAGUACCCCGAGGAAAAGAAAUCAACCGAGAUUCCCCCAGUAGCGGCGAGCGAACGGGGAGGAGCCCAGAGCCUGAAUCAGCAUGUGUGUUAGUGGAAGCGUCUGGAAAGGCGCGCGAUACAGGGUGACAGCCCCGUACACAAAAGCGCAUGUGCUGUGAGCUCGAUGAGUAGGGCGGGACACGUGGUAUCCUGUCUGAAUAUGGGGGGACCAUCCUCCAAGGCUAAAUACUCCUGACUGACCGAUAGUGAACCAGUACCGUGAGGGAAAGGCGAAAAGAACCCCGGCGAGGGGAGUGAAAAAGAACCUGAAACCGUGUACGUACAAGCAGUGGGAGC